rnacentral:rRNA from 1 species
UACAGAGGGUGCGAGCGUUGUUCGGAUUCAUUGGGCGUAAAGGGUGCGUAGGUGGCGCCGUAAGUGGGGUGUGAAAUUUCGGAGCUUAACUCCGAAACUGCAUUCCAUACUGCGGUGCUUGAGGACUGGAGAGGAGACUGGAAUUUACGGUGUAGCAGUGAAAUGCGUAGAGAUCGUAAGGAAGACCAGUGGCGAAGGCGGGUCUCUGGACAGUUCCUGACACUGAGGCACGAAGGCCAGGGGAGCAAACGGG